UUUGGAACUAUUACGCUCCUGUAUCAUAAAUACGUAUUCCAGGAUACAAAAAGAGAGGGGAGCAGAUCAAAAGAUUCUAGGCAGGGAGCAGAGAGAGAGAGAGAGAGAGAGAGAGAGAGAGAGUCGUACAGUAACAUCCCAGAAUUAUCAUCCAAAAAGGAACACCCCCCCCCCCCCCAACCCACCAUUCUUACAUUUCACCCAAAACCAGUCGUUCCUUUCCUCCUCCAACAUUCGGCCACAUAAAAAAAUCUCCCUCAUCUCUCCGUUAUCAAAAACAGCAGCAAUUACCACUGCCCCCAGACCGACGCCCAGCAGCUCACCCUCUCAUGGCGAAACCAUUAGCGCCGCUGCUCAUUGACGGCAGCAGCCUCACCAGCCACUAGCCCUUUGCAGUCGACGCCGUCCAUCCUAGCAAAAUCAGCAACAACCCACCACAUGCAGCGUCCCUCCAUAGCGUUUUCAACCGACAGUGACUCCGUCACCCAAAACAGCAUUGUGACCCAUCUGACAAACCCGAUCGUUAUCAACCAACAAACUUACAGCUAGUCAUCAACCAUCAAGUUUCCAAGCCAACCAACAGUCCUUUUUCUUUCUUCCACUUCGGUUGGCGACGGACACAGUUCCAACAACCAUUGAAAUAGGCUCUACCAACGACAGUAGCGCCACCACCAGCCAUUAGAUGGUUCAAAAAAACAGUAGAGAAGAUUGUGUGAGAGAGAGAAGAAGAUCUAAAAAAAGACCUUUUUUCAGAUGUGUAAUUAUCGUGUGCGUGGGUUAAUUAGUAAAAGAGAACGCGUGUAUUUGCAUUUUCUCUUCAUGUAUUUGAAUAAUAAAAAUUAAAAAUUAAAAAGACAAAAGAUUAAAUAUUUUAAUUUAGC
rnacentral:lncRNA from 1 species